rnacentral:lncRNA from 13 species
AUGGCAGAGCAAAGGAAGACUGCUGAGUUUACUUCAACACUCAGCUUGAACCAAAGUCACAGAGGGUGCAUUCUAAGAGCUGUCCAGAGAAUUUGGGCAGAUAACUGUGCUUCCAUACCCAUUUGGAUCGUUCAUCUAAUAACAGGUAAGGUGCUUGUCUCUUGGAUUUUAGGACCAAAGAGUUAAAUCUUUGAUUACAGCUUGUAAAUAUGUGACCAUUUUGAGCCCCUUUGAGUUUGAGAAAAUUUAUGUGUAUUGCCUGGUGCCUUGAUUGGAAGUGCCAGUCACAUUCAAAGCAGAAAGAAAUGUGUUAUCCAAAAAGUGAAUCGGGGUACUGCACCUAACCUCGGCCUCACUGUGUGUGCUCACACUUGGAAUGCUCUGCAAGAUUUUGGUGGUUAAGUUAGAGAGGCAAUGGGGAGGUUUGGUGCAAGGGAAACUAGGUGGAGGGGAAAGAAAAGCUGGUAUGGGAGGGCUGAAAGAAGAGCCCUUCUGUGCCUACUGUCUCUCAGUAUCAAACUCUGAGGUGUCACUCCCAUCCUAAGGGUUCAAAGGGUUAAUAGAAAGAGGGAUUUUCCUUGCAUUGGGCACAGUACCUAUGAUAGCCCUGGUUUAAACUUUAAAGGAUAGGUGAAAAGAGAGAGAGGGAGCUGAAUGCUUGCCUUAUAUAUCGGAGAAAUUGUUCAUUCAUGUGAAAUGCUGACCUCUGUCAUCCUGCCAAGAUGACUGGGCCCUAGGGUGAGAGGCUGCUUGAGCGCUUGUUGCAAAAGUUAAAGCUGCCUGGGGAGUGCUUUAAAAGGACAAUGUCAAGGUUGGUCUACCCAAAAUCUGACCUAUCUUUGUUUUUUUCUUUUCUCUCUCUUACAUCUAUUUGUAAAGUUCAUGUCUUUUUUUUUUUUUUUUUAUGCUUUUAAAAAUCUUUUAAUCUAAACCAAAAUGCUUCAAUUGCAUUUAGAGGGUAGUGAUUAAGAGAUGCUGUGAGUGUUCGGUGUGGCAAUGCAGAUAUUGUGAAGGAGGAAAGAUCCUGAAAUAAAACACAGGUAUGAGGACUUUGAAUUAGGUGAUCAUUAAUAAAUGAGAAUUCAGGCUGAAAUGUGGAAGGAAUAAAUGAAAAUGAGCAAGGAUAAUUUUUACAAAUUGAAAAUACCAGUGCAGUUCCAAACUUAAGUUCACAACAAGUUAAUUAAAAACCUCUAUUUAUUUUUAUUCUAAUAGGGUUUUUUUCUGUUUUGUUUUGAUUUUUUUUAUUCUGCUGAUUCUCAGUAACAUUAGAUUGUUACACCUAAUUCCUGUCACAACUGAAAAAUACCCUUCCAUCUUUUCUCUGCUUGAUGACCUAAUUAAAACCAUGGUAUAUCAGUUAUUUUUUUCUACAUGAUAUAAUAUCCCAAGAUCCUUUUAACUCUCACACAAGUAUUUCACCUGCUCGAAUAAUUUCUAGCCUAAUUGGAAAAUAGAUGAGCUAACUAUCUGUGCAAGUCAUAAAAGGAAAAGGAACAAGACGAAGUAGGAAAAUCAAAAUAAAAUCUCUUUUCUGCACAAAAUUAUGAUGCUUCCCAGAAAAUGCAGGAGGGAAUAAUCCCACACAACCUCCCCGCCACGAAACAAGUCAAACCCGGAGCCCUGAGGAUCGCAGUUCACCACUUGUUUUACCUGAAGAAAUCUCGGAGCACUCCGAUGAAAUGAUCUUGCAAUCUACUCCGUGAUCUCAAGAGGGCGGCCGGAUCAGGCAGACGCGUUCACUUUCAAGUUGACCUUUCAAAGCUUUCAAGAGUUUUUUCCUGUUUUGAAAAAGUUUUCCGGUGAGCUGCGAGGCUCGCUUCUGAUGUCCUUCUCAGUUCUGAAAGAAAACGCAGCUUCUAAGAAACCCUGGUGUGUCAUAAUCGCUUUCCUAGCUCCAAAAUGUGAUCCUUCCCUUGCUUCAUGUCGCACUGGCUUUUCUAAAUCCUGGAGGAAUAGAUGACCUUGCUCUGCGCUGUGGAACAGGGCACCUGUGGGGAAUAGAAAGAGACUGGAGUACAGGAGCAGGACAGCAGGAAGAGCCCACAAGAUAAUCAGUUCCUCCAUCCCUUCCCAGCCCAAAAGAUCACAAAUCAUCCUGUGCCUUGGGAAACAUCACUUUUGCAAAGCCUUUGAGUGCUUAUACCAAAUUCUAGUACUUGCUAACAAAGACAACGAUAGGGAAAAAAACCCCAAACAAAUCCACAGCACCUUUUUGAAAAACAAACCUCUACAAUUUUAAUUUCUAAAUUCUCUUCCUCUUUGUAACUAAGGUUUCCCAUACUCUCUAAAGCAGAGUAACAACCCAGGCAGCAAUAAAGAAGCUGUCUUGGUUAAAUGACACUCUGCCUCCUGCCAACAAGGCUAUUUAGUGUUUAUCUCUAUUACAUCCAUCUGUAGCUAAUUGCAUAGUUAUGGUAAUAGUGCCCUCCAGAGGAAUUUUGAAGGAAUUAUAAUACUCGGAGCUAAUACAAAAGAUGUUCUAAAAAUGAGUGCAACAGGAAAAUGGAAUAUUAUUAAAAUGAUAUAAUAC